rnacentral:tmRNA from 1 species
GGGGGCGAAAAGGUUUCGACGGGGGUAGAGUGGGUUGGGGUAGCGAGUCGGGGUCCCGACACCCGUAAAACAGGGAAAAAACAAAACAAACGCAAACGAACGUUUCGCGUUCGCUGCCUAGAUAGGUAGCCGUCGGCCCGCACUUUUCCUGCGAGGGCGGUCACCGGCGUCAUGAAAGCAGGAGUAGUGUUACUAAGCGCCUAGUAAGUAACGCGAAAAUAAUA